GCAUAUCAAUAAGCGGAGGAAAAGAAACCAACAGGGAUUGCCUUAGUAGCGGCGAGUGAAGCGGCAAAAGCUCAAAUUUGAAAUCUGGCGCCUUCGGUGUCCGAGUUGUAAUUUGAAGAUUGUAACCUUGGGGUUGGCUCUUGUCUAUGUUUCUUGGAACAGGACGUCACAGAGGGUGAGAAUCCCGUGCGAUGAGAUGCCCAAUUCUAUGUAAGGUGCUUUCGAAGAGUCGAGUUGUUUGGGAAUGCAGCUCUAAGUGGGUGGUAAAUUCCAUCUAAAGCUAAAUAUUGGCGAGAGACCGAUAGCGAACAAGUACGGUGAUGGAAAGAUGAAAAGAACUUUGAAAAGAGAGUGAAAAAGUACGUGAAAUUGUUGAAAGGGAAGGGUUUGAGAUCAGACUCGAUAUUUUGUGAGCCUUGCCUUCGUGGCGGGGUGACCCGCAGCUUAUCGGGCCAGCAUCGGUUUGGGCGGUAGGAUAAUGGCGUAGGAAUGUGACUUUACUUCGGUGAAGUGUUAUAGCCUGCGUUGAUGCUGCCUGCCUAGACCGAGGACUGCGAUUUUAUCAAGGAUGCUGGCAUAAUGAUCCCAAACCGCCCGUCUUGAAACACGGACC
rnacentral:rRNA from 1 species